rnacentral:rRNA from 1 species
GAUGAACGCUGGCGGCGUGCCUAAUACAUGCAAGUCGAGCGAACAGACGAGGAGCUUGCUCCUCUGACGUUAGCGGCGGACGGGUGAGUAACACGUGGAUAACCUACCUAUAAGACUGGGAUAACUUCGGGAAACCGGAGCUAAUACCGGAUAAUAUAUUGAACCGCAUGGUUCAAUAGUGAAAGACGUGUUUGCUGUCACUUAUAGAUGGAUCCGCGCCGCAUUAGCUAGUUGGUAAGGUAACGGCUUACCAAGGCGACGAUGCGUAGCCGACCUGAGAGGGUGAUCGGCCACACUGGAACUGAGACACGGUCCAGACUCCUACGGGAGGCAGCAGUAGGGAAUCUUCCGCAAUGGGCGAAAGCCUGACGGAGCAACGCCGCGUGAGUGAUGAAGGUCUUCGGAUCGUAAAACUCUGUUAUUAGGGAAGAACAAAUGUGUAAGUAACUAUGCACGUCUUGACGGUACCUAAUCAGAAAGCCACGGCUAACUACGUG